GCGGCCUCCUGACCUGCCCGGAGAGCAGCGCCGGAGAAAGACCCCAAACAUCCUCACCCCACUGCCACGCGCAGAUUUACGCGGAUUUACGAGCGCCCUCGUGCGCAGUGUUGCUGCCCGAGGCCAGCACUUUAACCGGGCUCGCGGGGGGGAACAGGGGGUCCUCGCCUUUGGAGGAGUCGGCUUCCAUCUGUCUGACAGCCCACCGCACAAUUCCUGCUUAAUCAAGCAAACAUUAUUGCCCCUCGCGACCCCCCUUUACUCCCCACGUGCAGACCAUCCUCCUCUUCUUCCUCCUUCUCUUCCUCUUCAAAGGUGUGAAAAGUAUUCCCGUUUAUUUCUCAGAGCGACACACAUUGGAAAACACGGGAGUGCCAUAUUGGAUGAGUAGCCUACAGUACACUGCCGGGCCUGCUGCUGUACAUGCCAUAACUCUGGGAGAAUGGAGGCAGCGAGUCCCAAGGGUGCCACAAUGAAGUUGGACUUGGAUAAAGGGCCAGUGUGUGUAUUAUACUGCGUGUAUGUGUGUUUAUGUGGGGGUGUGUGUGGAUG